rnacentral:tRNA from 1 species
UUGGGGAUUAGCCAAGUGGUAAGGCAGCGGCCUUUGAAGUCGCCAUCAUUGGUUCGAAUCCAGUAUCCCCAGU